GUGUUCUAUUUAAAAAAAGAUUAUAUAUACUUAUCAGGAUAUUGCAUGUGAGAGUACUUUUGAAUGUGACACAAUAUUAUAUAAUAAUAUUUACUUCUGAUGACCAUAGAAGAUUAUUGCAAAUUUGAAGGGAAAUUUCAACAAGACAGGGAAAUUAGAAAACAAAAAAGAAAAUUUCAACAAUUGAAGGAACUACAUAUGCUAAUCAGACGAGAAAUAUUCUGAAAUUCAUUUUAGAUGAUAACGUUUCCAAAAAAUAGUCGUGAACAGGAAAAAAACAAUCAACACCAACAAAAGACACAAUAUUUGCUAACAUUAUUAUAGAAUUGCCAUAGCAGACGACUUUGUGAGUCCUUUUAGUGACGUCUUACAAAAGAUCCGUCAGACGUCUGUACAUCGUCUUUAGGUAAUGUCUCAAAGACGUAAUGAAAAA